rnacentral:tRNA from 3 species
AGUAGGGUAGAGCAGUUUGGUAGCUCGUAAGGCUCAUAACCUUAAGGUCGUUAGUUCGAAUCUAGCCCCUACUA